rnacentral:rRNA from 1 species
UACGGGGGGGGCAAGCGUUGUUCGGAAUUACUGGGCGUAAAGGGCUCGUAGGUGGCCAACUAAGUCAGACGUGAAAGCCCACGGCUCAACCGUGGAAGUGCAUCCGAAACUGCAUGGCUUGAGUCUCGGAGAGGAAGGUGGAAUGCUUGGUGUAGAGGUGAAAUUCGUAGAUAUCAAGCAGAACACCUGCGGCGAAGGCGGCCUUCUGGACGAUGACUGACGCUGAGACGCGAAAGCGUGGGGAGCAAACAGG